GACGAACCGUGCGAACGUUGUUCGGAAUCACUGGGCUUAAAGGGCGCGUAGGCGGGCCGGACGGUCCGGGGUGAAAUCCCCCCGCUCAACGGGGGAACGGCUCCGGAUACCGCCGGCCUCGAGGGGGGUAGGGGCGAGCGGAACGCUGGGUGGAGCGGUGAAAUGCGUUGAUAUCGAGAGGAACACCUGCGGCGAAGGCGGGUUGCUGGGCUGAUACUGACGCUGAGGCGCGAAAGCCAGGGGAGCGAACGGG
rnacentral:rRNA from 1 species